AUUACGUCUCCGCUUAUAACUGGAGUUAUCUUGCUUUGUGCAAAAUUUCCAAGUGAUGCUAUAGUGUUAAGAAUGAGAAGACAUUAGUCGUUGCUCUCUGUUGCUCACAUGUUUUUGGAAGAUUAUAAUGCAGUGGGAACAUUAAAUUAGUUCUUUUCGAAGCCAACUAUGCGACAUUUGCUUAACAUGGAUGGAGUUUGAACUGCUGAAGAAAAGUUCAGUUAUUAAUUAGCUCAGCAAGUGAAAAGGAUUCAACCGGGAUCGCUUUUGACGACGUUAUAUGUAUGUUGUGGAACGUAGCAGUGUGUUUACUUUUAAAACUUUCCAUGUGUAACUUGGAUUGUUAAAUUAUUUUGAUCAAGUAGGUUUGGAAAACACUCGAUCUCUUAGAUCCUUUUUACACUACACUGCACACGAAAAUUUCCAUUUCAUCGAGGUUUGUGGAAAGAAAAGAAAAAAGUGCACAAGGUCCACGGUGUUAGUGGGAUUUCUAUCUUAUAGUCGGUUUUGCUCUGUUGACAAUUCUCAAAUGUGCUUGACUGAAACAAUUUGCUUUAAAUAACUUUUGACUGAAAUCGUGCUAGACAUUGAAACUUUAUUGUAAGCUGGAUCAGUUGCUUUCGCUGUUGUAGCUGCAGGCCGUAAAACGAGCAAAGUAAUUAGAGAAGACCCAAUAUAUAUUAUUGUAAUAAUAAGAAUUCGAUUUCAAUGGAACAGUUUAAAUUUUUGUACCUGUCAAAUCUACGCAAUUUAGCAUCGAACGUAAAUUUCUCUCGCAUUGUUCUUCUCUAUGAAAUCGUUAAAGUAAAAUGAUGUCAUUAAAUGGAAUGUUAGAAAAUAUUGCUGUUAUGCGUUCACUUAUAUUCCUUGGAGUUUUUAGACGAUGAGAGAUCCCUUUAAGAAGAUUGAAAACUUAUUACUGCUAUCGUUAAAAAGUAGAUCCUGUGCAAUUGUGUCAUCUCGCUUCUCUUCCAAACGACGUCUGCUUAUACGAUCAUCGACAAAGAGUGGACGAAAUCUCUUAAAAUUUCGGUAGAUUUUUGGCACAUUCAGAAACUUGGUAGAGUGAACAGUAUGCAACAUGUUCUACAGUUCACUUCACUUACAAACAACAGCGCGAAGGAAGGUUUACAACGCUAAAAUCGAUUGUGUAAUAUUUACUACAUGAAAACAUUCAGCCAUUAAAUCAAAAAUAUUUUCGGGUAUGAAUAUUCAUAUUCCUGUAAAAA